rnacentral:rRNA from 1 species
UACGUAGGGGGCGAGCGUUGUCCGGAUUUAUUGGGCGUAAAAGGCUUGUAGGUGGCCACGCCAAGUCGGAUGUGAAAUCUCCCGGCUCAACUGGGAGGGUCAUUCGAUACUGGCGGGCUCGAGGCCGGUAGGGGGAAGUGGAAUUCCCGGUGUAGCGGUGAAAUGCGCAGAUAUCGGGAGGAACACCGGUGGCGAAGGCGGUUCUCUGGGCCUGUACUGACGCUGAGGAGCGAAAGCGUGGGGAGCGAACAGG